rnacentral:rRNA from 1 species
GAUGAACGCUGGCGGCGUGCCUAAUACAUGCAAGUCGAGCGAACAGACGAGAAGCUUGCUUUUCUGACGUUAGCGGCGGACGGGUGAGUAACACGUGGAUAACCUACCUAUAAGACUGGGAUAACUUCGGGAAACCGGAGCUAAUACCGGAUAAUAUUUUGAACCGCAUGGUUCAAAAGUGAAAGACGGUUUUGCUGUCACUUAUAGAUGGAUCCGCGCUGCAUUAGCUAGUUGGUAAGGUAACGGCUUACCAAGGCAACGAUGCGUAGCCGACCUGAGAGGGUGAUCGGCCACACUGGAACUGAGACACGGUCCAGACUCCUACGGGAGGCAGCAGUAGGGAAUCUUCCGCAAUGGGCGAAAGCCUGACGGAGCAACGCCGCGUGAGUGAUGAAGGUCUUCGGAUCGUAAAACUCUGUUAUUAGGGAAGAACAUAUGUGUAAGUAACUGUGCACGUCUUGACGGUACCUAAUCAGAAAGCCACGGCUAACUACGUG